UCGAUUUUGAAUCAUUUUCAUUUCAAAUUGAUUCACACACAUAGCAGACGCCAACACAUCAAGCGUCAUCAAUAGCGUGGUCUAUGGUGCAAUGCUAUCGCUGGAGUAAGGCGUUUCCCUUCAAUUCGGGUAGCGUCAUGAUUGGACUACCCUGAUGGCGUCAUGAUCGCUGCUGAUUGCCUUUCCAAUAGGUUUUCAGCAUUCUGCUUACACCUUUGGCCACAUAUUUCACAAUCCAACAUCAAUUGGUACCAACAGCAGCCCUUCUCUCCAUCAUCCAGAAGGGUCUGAGAUCAGUAUUGGAGAUGAUGGUUCGGAACAACCCAUGGAAAGCUUAUCACUCAUUGAUGCUGUGAUGCCUGAUGUUGUUGCAAGUCGUCAACAGCAAACACAGAACAAUCAGAAACCACAAGUGGUAAAGACAGAACCACCAAAUUCCAAUGGAGAUGAACCCAUGCAUUCCUAUCGCUGGGACGAGGAAACAGGAGUAGAGAUACCUGCCAGCAAAUCAACUGUACUUUGUGGCCAUGAAUCUGAAGUUUUCAUCUGCGCCUGAACCCAACAACUGUUUUAUUGGCUUCUGGCUAUGGUGAUAGUACUGCCAGAAUUUGGAACAUGAAUGACAACCCGUCUUCACCAACUCAACUUGUUAUUAGGCAUUGCAUUCAGAAGGGUGGAACUGAAGUUCCGAGCAACAAAGAUGUCACCUCACUUGACUGUGUGAUGGAACUCUGCUUGCAACUGGCUCUUACGAUGGUUACGCUCGCAUUUGGACAACUGAUGGAAGAUUAGCUAGCACUUUGGGACAGCAUAAAGGACCUACUGUCGCACUACAAUGGAACAAAAAUGGCAACUAUAUCCUCAGUGCUGGAUUCGACAAAACGACCAUCAUUUGGGACGCUUCAACGAGUCAGUGCACGCAGCAGUUGGCUUUCCAUUUCGCCCCAGCACUCGAUGUAGAUUGGCAGUCGAAUGUCAGUUUUGCCUCAUGCUCCACUGACCAGUGUAUUCAUGUU